rnacentral:rRNA from 1 species
UACAGAGGUCUCAAGCGUUGUUCGGAUUCAUUGGGCGUAAAGGGCGCGUAGGCGGCGGGGUAAGUCGGGUGUGAAAUCUCAGAGCUCAACUCUGAAAUGGCACUUGAUACUGCUCUGCUAGAGGACUGGAGAGGAGAUUGGAAUUCACGGUGUAGCAGUGAAAUGCGUAGAUAUCGUGAGGAAGACCGGUGGCGAAGGCGGAUCUCUGGACAGUUCCUGACCGGCUGAGGCGCGAAGGCCAGGGGAGCAAACGGGG